rnacentral:rRNA from 1 species
UACGAAGGGGGCUAGCGUUGCUCGGAAUUACUGGGCGUAAAGAGCUCGUAGGCGGUCUGUCGCAUCGAAUGUGAAAACCCGGGGCUCAACCCCGGGCCUGCAUUCGAUACGGGCAGACUAGAGUUCGGUAGGGGAGUCUGGAAUUCCUGGUGUAGCGGUGAAAUGCGCAGAUAUCAGGAGGAACACCGGUGGCGAAGGCGGGACUCUGGGCCGAUACUGACGCUGAGGAGCGAAAGCGUGGGGAGCAAACAGG